rnacentral:rRNA from 1 species
CCUACGGGGGGCAGCAGUCGAGAAUCAUUCACAAUGGGGGAAACCCUGAUGGUGCGACGCCGCGUGGGGGAAUGAAGGUCUUCGGAUUGUAAACCCCUGUCAUGUGGGAGCAAAUUAAAAAGAUAGUACCACAAGAGGAAGAGACGGCUAACUCUGUGCCAGCAGCCGCGGGAAUACAGAGGUCUCAAGCGUUGUUCGGAAUCACUGGGCGUAAAGCGUGCGUAGGCUGUUUCGUAAGUCGUGUGUGAAAGGCGCGGGCUCAACCCGCGGACGGCACAUGAUACUGCGAGACUAGAGUAAUGGAGGGGGAACCGGAAUGCUCGGUGUAGCAGUGAAAUGCGUAGAUAUCGAGAGGAACACUCGUGGCGAAGGCGGGUUCCUGGACAUUAACUGACGCUGAGGCACGAAGGCCAGGGGAGCGAAAGGGAUUAGAUACCCCUGUAGUC